rnacentral:rRNA from 1 species
CCCUUAGAUGUUCUGGGCCGCACGCGUGCUACACUGAGUGGAUCAGCGGGUCAGGUUGCGCGAAAGUGUUUCCUAAUCUUUAAAUCCGCUCGUGAUGGGGAUUGACGGUUGCAAUUUUCCGUCAUGAACGAGGAAUACCUUGUAAGCGCGGGUCAUCAUCCCGCGCUGAAUACGUCCCUGCCCUUUGUACACACCGCCCGUCGCUACUACCGAUUGAACGUUUUAGUGAGGUAUUUGGACUGGGCCUUGGGAGGUUUCGGCCUCCCUUGUUGCUCGGAAAGACUCCCAAACUUGAGCGUUUAGAGGAAGUAAAAGUCGUAACA